ensembl:lincRNA Gm26888 predicted gene, 26888
AAAUCCAGCCCUCAGCAAGAGCCGUCAGUGCUCUUAACCACGGAGCUGUCUCUCCAGCCCUCAUUUUAUUAUUUUAAAUUAUGUGUGUAGUGUGUGCACAGACAGGACUUUAGGUAGCCAGGGAGACCAGAGGAGUUAGAUCUCUCUGAAACUGGGGUUACAGGCAACCAUGAGCUGCCUGGUGUAGGUGCUAAGAAUCAAACCCAGGUCCUCUGCAAGAGCAGUAUAUGAUAUUAACCUCCGGGCCAGCCUGAGAUUGAGUCAGUCACUCACUGAACCUAGGACUUGGCAAUUAGCUCUGCUGGCUGAGCAGCAAGCUCCAAGGAUCUACCUGUGUGAACUUCCCCAGGGCACACCCAGCACGUUACCUGGUUCUAAGGAUCUAGGCUUGGGUCCAUAAUGCUUGUACCUCAGACACUUUGCUGUCUGAGUCACCCCCAGCCUCCACCACUGGAACCUCGCUCACACCUGUCUUCUAGUUCAUCUUAGAUUUAAAGAUAUUCUAGAAGGAGACCAUGGCAUAGCCCUCGGCACAGUAUGAUCUCCAGGGUGGUCAAGGAGGCUGACUCAGUGUGAAGUCAUCCCCCAGCCUCAGCAGACCCCCAGGGGCUGUUUCUAAUGUAUGCCCGACCAGGCAGGGUGAGUUCCUUCCAUCCCACCACGGUUCAGCAACUCCCAGAGUUGAUUAAGGGAGAGUUCAUGUCUGAGUUUCAAGACCCUGGAUUCCUGCAUGUCGGGUCACCAGGUUGCAUGGGACUUGACGACAGAGGCUAUUUCUGGUAGCACCCGGUGGGGGCUGCCGACUUCACUGACGCCACCAGAAAACCAGUCUCCAGCAGCUAAUGAGUCACUGGCCAUGUGCCGCCAGGCUCCAGAGUGAUGGCGUCAGACCCUGUAAUUGCCUCCCUGGGUACCGUGGAAACCUGACAUCACAGGCGUGUGCGUUGCAGCAGGGACCUGGUGCCUGGUUAGGGUCAGUGCUGCUGAGCACAGCUGGGCCUCAGGCUCUGCACCUCUCCAAAGCAGGCACACUCUUGUUCCCUGGAGCUGUGUGGCUCUGGAGUCUAGAAGUCCUUCCUGACGGGCCAGGAUGUCCAGCCUGUGGCCCACGGAAGGUCAAGGCCACGGUAUGGCUGACAGCUCUUUGAUGGAUGUCCAAUCUGCACAAUUGCCAGGAUGCUCCGUUCCUCCUGCAGCCAGCUGCUUCUCCCUCAUACCUUUGCUGUGGUCAACCCUCUGUUCCCAGUGGCUUAUCUAUGGGGCAUGCUUUUGGCCCUCCCUCGGCUCUGCCCUCACUGUAUAAGACCACUGAUCACGAUUAUCCAAAACCCUCUGUUUAGCUGAGUCUCCAAUGUCUGAGGUCUGACCCAUAUGCCAUAGAUACAGCCAUGGGAGGGGGCACCUGGGACUCACUCCUGUCUCUAGGGUCCAGUGCCUUCUGUUCAUACCUUCAUUGUGUCAGCUUUUCUAUUUCCAGACCAGGCCAUCUGCAGGAGUGAGGGCAGACUACCUACAUCCAGGACCUGGAAGUGGGCAGGGGCUUGACACAAAUGCAGGUGUGUUGCAGUGACAAGAUCUAGUCCCGGUCACCUGGUGCUGCCUGGUUUGUGUACAGCUGAUCUCUGUGGGGGAGGACUUGUGGCCAGGGUCAGCUGAGCCUCCCAAAAACGUCAGCCUUUGUGGGUGGAGAUGUGAGACUUGCCUGCUGGAUGUCCCACUGCACACAGCUACCCUGACUGCCUGUAUUGGGCUCUGCUAGUCACUCAAACCUGAACCAGGUAGCAUGGACCUCUCCUCUCCGUGGUCUAUCGAGGAGGCCGGAUUAAUGGCCCUGCAGGAAGCCACCAGAGUAGGACCUUGAACAAUUGUCCUCUGGUGUUUCAGGAGAAAUGGAUUAGAGGCUGACUGAGACCCAAACGUACAUCUCCUGUAGGUGACUAGCUGGCCCUUCCCAGAAGGCCUAUGCCCUGUCAGCAGAGAUUCUGGAUUUCUGCUGACCUCUUGACCCCCCCCNNNNNNNNNNNNNNNNNNNNNNNNNCCCCCCCAUAACAUGGCUGCAUCUCACCAUCAAGUCCCAAGCAGCAACAGGAGGCAGUGUGCUAUCUCUCUGAGCCCUUCAUUACACAGACACCCGUGCACACGCAUACACAUGUGCGCAAGCACAGAUAUAUUCAUGAUACACAUAUGCAUGAUACACAGUGAUACACGUAUGCAUGUGCACGCGUGUGCACACACACACAAACACACAACUCCACGCCUCACCAGCUGUCUCUCCAUGUCCUCAUCCCUGGGAGAGCUGACAAAGAUGGUGUUCUGCAUCAAACCCACGAAGCACCAGAAGGUGUCUGAUUCAUCCAAGACUUCAGCCAGGAUAGGCGCCACCAGAUCUGACAUGCCCUGUCUAGCCCCUCAGAGGAGAGCUGACUGCAGCCUGUUGCAGUGCGGAGCAACCUUCAGCCUCUGAAGUCAGGCUUCCAACCCGGCUGUACUUGGCGAACAUUGGCCCCUAGUUAAGUCUGUUAAACACAAAUUCUAAAACUCUUGGCAUGCGAACUAAAGGGCCUGGACCAAGGUGAUGGGGGUGUCAUGUAGUGACUGCCCUUAUCCUGCCAAUGGUGUUGGCUCUUGGGAGACUCACGGUUCUAAGAAACUAUGGUUCAUAGAAUACAAGGUCAGCGGUGAAUUGCACUUUCCCGCCGAGGUCUGAAGGGACUUCGGGGCCCCGAGUGCACCUCUUUUGCUGGAUGGCUGCGUAUUCCUUUCGCUUCUGCGACCGAAGUGCCUCUCGUUCCUCCGACGUGGACUCGUGGCUAUAAUAGUGCAGCAGAAAAGGCCAGACCUCCCCACGGAUCGACACAUCAAUGCCACCAAAGAAAAUGGCCUGGAGGAAGCAGUACAAAUUGAGAGGGGUUGGGGGGAGAGAGUAUAAAACAGGGAAGCUCAAAGAACCCCCAAAUCCCCAGAGAAGGGUGUUGUGGGUCCUUUGGCGAGCCUCGAUUCAGACCCCGGCAAUUUGCACAUGUUUACAAGGGGAAAGCGCUGGAGAGGCAUUCCCAUACAGGAUACAAACUGGCUCAUUUCAAUGUCAAAGCCCCCCCGGGGUGGCACUCUGAGAUCAACACGCCGUUCUCAUGUCAUGGAUUAAUCCUGGGGGUUUCAAUACUGAAGAGUCCGCAGGGCCCACAAGGGAUCCCCAAACUCUGCAAUUGUCUUUUCAAUGAAGCUGCCUGGGUGCUUCGGACAGAACCUGACGCCAGGGACCGGCCCUCCUGAGGUGGUGACUGGCCACCCACCCUCCAGCCCUGCUGCUUGACUAAAGGGCUCCGUGGAGGCUGGCUAGGUGCCCCCUCCCCUACCUGGCGAAGCUUGUACUCCUCCUCCACCUGGCCCAGGUCAUUCAGGUGGUUGAGCCAGGCAGACACGUCCAGCCUCCGGUACAGGCUCUCCUCAGGGUGGAUUUCAGAGGACGGCAGCUUGGGCCUUCGGAUGGAGAACUGCAUACAUGUUCUCUCAUCCGUGACCUGCUGGACGGGUGGGAGGAACCCGGUGGAGAGCAGAUCUCAGAGCCUGGGCUUCAAAAGAAGCCUGAGACGCUGUUCCCAGAAUGUCAAAGCCACUCUCUCCUCUGGGAGGAGGGGAGGCGCUGUCUGUGCACACAACUCCUAAAUGGCAAGUGUAAUUAGACACAAUUAAAAUGAAAAUACCUUC